rnacentral:rRNA from 1 species
GACGAACGCUGGCGGCGCGCUUAACACAUGCAAGUCGAGCGAAGCGGCGGACGGUUGAGUAACACGUGAGUAAACUGCCUUAGACAUUGUGAUAGCCUCGGGAAACCGGGAUUAAUACCAAAUGUGCUAAGAUGGACUCGCGUCCCAUUAGCUAUUUGGGAGGUAACGGCCCACCAAGGCGACGAUGGGUAGCCGGCCUGGGAGGGAGAACGGCCACAUUGGAACUGAAUACCGAUCCAAACUCUACGGGAGGCAGCAGUGGGGAAUAUUGCACAAUGGAGGGAACUCUGAUACAGCGAGGCCGCGUGAACAAAGAAGGCUUUCGAGUCGAAAAGUUCUUUUAUAUGGGAAGCAGUACCAUAAGAAAAAGCCCCGACUAACUACGUGCCAGCAGCCGCGGUAAUAC